rnacentral:lncRNA from 1 species
CAUUUGUCUAUUUGGAUUGAAGAGAUAAGGCCUAAAGAAGACAUCAUAGUAGUCAUCAAUUUCAUACAGAACCUUAAUGGAGAAGAGAGUUGGACUUCCUCUACUUCCUCCAAAAAACAAAAAGUGAGAAUCAAGGGAAGUGUUACAGAGAAGUUUUCGAUUCAUACGAACAACUAUCCAUUUGACCUAAGCUGUGAUGAAGUACCUUGCAAAAGCCUCUCAGCCAGUGGGAUUAUCUGCCAUGAAGAGCACAUAAGUGAUCUCAGUGUGGGGUUGGCCAUUCCACUGGAAGGCCAUGCAGGUGCCUUUGUCUUCUGUGCUUCCAUGAUCUUCUGUUAUAAUGAAGAGAGAGGAAGAAACAAGCCAUCUCUGGGCCCACUCCAUGUGAGUUUCCUCUGCCUUCACCUUGAGGAUGCACCUGCUAGGUAAGCAGUGUGGUAAGAGGCUCCAUGCUGUUUCCCAUCCCAACUUUAUUGACUCAGUCACCGUGUUGAUGCUGGAAACGCAUUCUCCCAAGUGCAUUAUUUUUACUGUUUCUUUCUCUUGUACACACAUAUUCUUCCAGCAGCCUGUCUCGGCUUUAUUAAAAGAUAUUUAUGUUUUCUGAUCACUUCUGCUUCCUUCUGUUCCUUCCAGGAAUGAAAAAUCAAUCUGAGUGUCAUUAAGAGGAUAGUCCCUGAAGAAGAUUGCUGGUGACAGUGGAUUUGUCACCCAACUCACUUUCUUUUACUGAGCAAUUGGAAUUUCUUCCACAGGGGAUGAGACCCGGUGUUAUUACACUGUCUGAAUUCAGGCAGGCCUUUUACUGACUCGCCAAGUUUUCAUUCCAUUGUCUCUCUGUCAUUGGCUCAUUUGAUCUCUACACUGAUUAAUUAGUUUCAAAUCCCCUCAUAUUGAUCUAAUAAAAUCCACUUGUUUAAUUCA